rnacentral:ncRNA from 1 species
GAUGGAACAAUGUAGGUAAGGAAAGUCGGUAAAAUGGAUCCGUAACUUCGGGAAGAGGAUUGACUCAGAGGGCUGGGCACGGGAGUCCCAGUCCCGAACCCAUUGGUUGUUGGUGUAUUGCACGAGCUGCUCCCGCAGCAAGAGUGCGUUGGCACGUGCUGGCCUGGGGACAUACUGGGAAAGGUUCCUUCGAGGGCUUUCCCCGCGCGUCAAACAACCAACUCAGAACUGGUACGAACAAGCGGAAUCCGACUGUUUAACUAAAACAAAGAAUUGCAAUAGUCCCAAUGGAUGUUCACGCAAUGUGAUAUUUGCCUAGUGCUCUAAUUGUCAAAGUGAAGAAAUUUAACAAAGCGCAGGUAAACAGCGAGAGUAACUAUGACUCUCUUAAGGUAGCCAAAUGCCUCGUCAUCUAAUUAAAAAUGCACAUGAAUGGAUUAACGAGAUUCCCACUAUCCUUGUCUACUAUUCUUCCAAACCACAGCCAAGGGAAGGCGCUUAGCAAAGUCAGUGGGGAAAGAAGACCCUGUUGAGCUUGAAUCUAGUCCGACUUUAUGAAAUGAAUUGAGAGGUGUAGUAUAAGUGGGAGCCGAAAGGCGAAAGUGAAAUACCACUACUUUUAACGUUAGUUUACUUAUUCUGUGAAUUGGAAGCAGGGAACUGCCCCUUUUUUUGGACCCAAGGCUUGCUCUGCGGGCCGAUCCGGGCGGAAGACAUUGUCAGGUGGGGAGUUUGGCUGGGGCGGCACAUCUGUUAAAAGAUAAAGUAGGUAUCCGAAGAUAAGCUCAACAAGAAUAGAAAUGUCAUGUGGAAUAGAAAGGUAAAAGCUCAUUUGAUUUUGAUUUCCAGUACGAAUACGAUCAAUGAAAGCAUGGCCUAACGAUCUUUUAGACCUUUAAAAUUCAAAGCUAUAGGUGUCAAAAAAGUUACUACUAGGAUAACUGGUUUGUGGCAGCAAAGCAUUCAUAGAGAUAUUGCUUUCUGAUGCUUCGAUGUUGACUAUUCCUAUCAUUGUGAAGUAGAAUUCACCAUGUGUUGGAUUGUUCACCGACCAAUAGGGAACGUGAUCUGAGUUUAUACCAUUGUAAGACAGAUUAGUUUUACCCUACUGAUGACAGUGUCGCAAUAGUAAUUUAACCUAGUACGAGAGGAACCGUUGAUUCUCAUAAUUGGUCAUCGUAUUUGGUUGAAAAGCCAGUGGCGCGAAGCUAACAUGUGUUGGAUUAUGAAUGAAUUCCUCUAAGUCAAAAUCCAGGCUAGAAGCAAUGCAUGUGCCCACCGCCUACUUGCUGACCCAUAGUAGGGGCCUCAGCCCCCAAGGGCACGUGUCAUUGGCUAAGCCACCGCGGCAAAAGGGUUGCGGUGUCCUAUCUGAAGUACAAUUUCCAUCGAGCGGUGAGUAGAAUCCUAUGCAGAGAACUUAAAUACGCAAUGGGGUAUUGUAAGUGGCAUAGUGGUCUUGUUGCCACGAUCCACUGAGAUUCAGCCCUUUGUCGCUCCGAUUC